AAGAGGGAUGACUCCAAGCCUGGAAGCUAAAAUUAUUGGGUUCUCAUUUCUUCAAAAGAAUGCUGGCUUGCAGUGGGAAUGAAGGGCCUCAUUUACUUUCUACCUGGGCCCCUACCUGUGAACUCACCAUGCCCCCUUCCUAACAGGAUGGUGCUUGGAUUCCAAGGGUUUGUAUUCUUAGAGUGAGCAGGAAAGAAGCAAUGUCCUUUGUAUGGCACAUAUAUCCCUUUUGCCAUAUUCUAGGGGACUAACAAAUUACAAAUUAACUAACAUUCAAUCCAAGAUGAAGCUAUGUGUCACUUUUCGGUGGGAGGAGUGUCCAUAACAUUAUAAGCAGGAUGUGCAAGAGAAGAGACCGAGAGAGGAAAAUAAAUUGUGGAAAUCAGUGAAAAGUCCGAAAUACAGAGAUGGAGUUUUCCCAUGUUGCCCAUGCUGGUCUGGAACUCCUGAGCACAGAAACAACUGAAGAGUAGCAGAAUACAACUAUUCAUCCCCUAGGGCGCCUAAAUUUCCCAGCGUUCCUUUAGAAUCUGAUGAGAUGAGGUUUAGAUCUGAUGACCAUCAAAAGUAAUUUAAUUCUUUACAUUGAUUAUAUUAUAGAAUUGUUUUCAGAAAAGAUAGUCAAGAAAUUUUAGGAAAUGUAAUAUAUAACUAAUUGGUAUAGGCUAUAUGCUGUACCAAUAGGAUAUAUAAUAGGGUAUAUAAGCAAAGGUUAAUUAAACCAUCUAAAACUUAGGACUCAGGCCAAUCUUUUAAAUCAUUAGGGAUAUUCUCGGCAUGGACCUCAAGAGAUAGU